rnacentral:rRNA from 1 species
AUACGUAGGGGGCGAGCGUUGUCCGGAAUUAUUGGGCGUAAAGGGUACGUAGGCGGUUUUUUAAGUCUGGUGUGAAAUUGGUGAGCUCAACCCACCCAAGCAUUGGAAACUGGAAAACUUGAGUCAUGGAGAGGAAAGUGGAAUUCCUAGUGUAGCGGUGAAAUGCGUAGAUAUUAGGAGGAAUACCGGUGGCGAAGGCGACUUUCUGGACAUGUACUGACGCUGAGGUACGAAAGCGUGGGGAGCAAACAGGAUUAGAUACCCUGGUAGUCCACGCCGUAAACGAUGAGUGCUAGGUGUUGGGGGUCAAACCUCGGUGCCGCAGUUAACACAUUAAGCACUCCGCCUGGGGAGUACGUGCGCAAGCAUAAAACUUAAAGGAAUUGACGGGG